rnacentral:tRNA from 1 species
CACUAAGAAGCUAAUUGGACCCUAGCGUUAGCCUUUUAAGCUAAAGAUUGGUGACUUCCAACCACCCUUAGUGA